rnacentral:rRNA from 1 species
UACGGGGGGGGCAAGCGUUGUUCGGAAUUACUGGGCGUAAAGGGCUUGUAGGUGGCCAACUAAGUCAGACGUGAAAUCCCUCGGCUUAACCGGGGAACUGCGUCUGAUACUGGAUGGCUUGAGUGUGGGAGAGGGAUGCGGAAUUCCAGGUGUAGCGGUGAAAUGCGUAGAUAUCUGGAGGAACACCGGUGGCGAAGGCGGCAUCCUGGACCAUUACUGACACUGAGGAGCGAAAGCCAGGGGAGCAAACGGG